UCCUACGGGAGGCAGCAGUAAGGAAUAUUCCACAAUGAGCGAAAGCUUGAUGGAGCGACACAGAGUGCAGGAUGAAGUCUUUAGGGAUGUAAACUGCUGUUGUAAGGGAAGAAAAAACUAGAUAGGAAAUGAUUUAGUCUUGACGGUACCUUAUUAGAAAGUGACGGCAAACUAUGUGCCAGCAGCCGCGGUAAUACAUAGGUCGCAAGCGUUAUCCGGAAUUAUUGGGCGUAAAGCGUCCGCAGGUCUUUUGUUAAGUUUAAGGUUAAAUGCUAAAGCUCAACUUUAGUUCGCUUUAGAUACUGACAAAAUAGAAUUAUGAAGAGGUUAGCGGAAUUCCUAGUGGAGCGGUGGAAUGCGUAGAUAUUAGGAAGAACACCAAUAGGCGAAGGCAGCUAACUGGUCAUAUAUUGACACUAAUGGACGAAAGCGUGGGGAGCAAACAGGAUUAGAUACCCUGGUAGUCC
rnacentral:rRNA from 1 species